UACAGAGGUCCCAAGCGUUGUUCGGAUUUAUUGGGCGUAAAGGGUGCGUAGGCGGCGGAGUAAGUUGGGUGUGAAAUCCCGGGGCUCAACCUCGGAAUGGCAUUCAAUACUGCUUCGCUAGAGUACUGGAGAGGAGGCUGGAAUUUACGGUGUAGCAGUGAAAUGCGUAGAUAUCGUAAGGAAGGCCGGUGGCGAAGGCGGCGACCUGGGCCAAUACUGACGCUGAGGUGCGAAAGCGUGGGGAGCAAACAGG
rnacentral:rRNA from 1 species